rnacentral:rRNA from 1 species
UACAGGGGAGCAAGCGUUGUUCGGAUUCAUUGGGCGUAAAGGGUGCGUAGGCGGACAGGUAAGUCAGUGGUGAAACUCUCUGGGCUUAACCCAGAAACUGCCGUUGAUACUAUUUGUCUUGAAUAUCCUGGAGGUAGGCGGAAUAUGUCAUGUAGCGGUGAAAUGCUUAGAUAUGACAUAGAACACCGAUAGCGAAGGCAGCUUACUCAGGAUGAUUGAACGC